CCUACGAGUGGCAGCAGUGAGGAAUAUUGGUCAAUGGACGAGAGUCUGAACCAGCCAAGUAGCGUGAAGGAUGACUGUCCUCUGGGUUGUAAACUUCUUUUAUAUGGGAAUAAAACAGGGUAUGCAUACCCUCUUUUAUGUACCAUACCAAUCAGGAUCGGCUAACUCCGUUACAGCACCCGCGGUAAUACGGAGGGUCCGAGCGUUAUCCGGAUUGAUUGGGUUUAAAGGGAGCGUAGGUGGGUUGUUAAGUCAGUAGUGAAAGUUUGCGGCUCAACCGUAAAAGUGCAGUUGAAACUGGCAGUCUUGAGGACAGUAGAGGUGGGCGGAAUUCGUGGUGUAGCGGUGAAAUGCUUAGAUAUCACGAAGAACUCCGAGUGCGAGGGCAGCUCACUGGAUUGUAACUGACGCUGAGGCUCGAAAGUGUGGGUAUCAAACAGGAUUAGAUACCCGGGUAGUC
rnacentral:rRNA from 1 species